AUGUGGGACUUUCUGAUCUUUAUUUUGUCAGGGGUAGACUGUGUUGAGUACAGCCAGCCCAGCUCUGUAACCAUCAGGCCAGGAGAGUCUUUGAGUGUCACCUGCAAAGUAACUGGAGGCUCCAUUACUGACAGUAGCAAAAACUGGUGCAUCUCCUGGAUACGACAGCCAUCAGCAGGGAAAGGCCUGGAGUGGAUCAAUCGCAUCUGUUUUAAUGCAGAUAUGUACUAUAAAGAUUCACUGAAGAGCAAGUUCAGUGUCUCCAGAGACACCUCCAGUAACACCAUCAUCCUGCAAGGACAAAACAUGCAGCCUGAAGACACAGCUGUCUAUUACUGCGCUUGCUACUCACAGUGA